rnacentral:lncRNA from 1 species
UGUUUUACAGCUGCAACAGAGACAAAAUCUAUAUAUACGCCAUGUAACUAUGGUAGAAACAUUCUCAAUAGAGACGCCUACAGAGAGUAACACCGUCGCCAAUAGAAACUUGCGAGAUCUCUACACGUUGAUCCCGACACAGGUACUCAUUGAGUUCCUGUAUAGCCUUUGUCCGGUGCCUGAAAGGCUCUGGAACUUCAUUUGCUUCUUGAGCUACAAAUCCAUAACACAAGGUGUUAUCGUAAGCAAUUAUUCCUCCAACCUUAGCUAAUUUCAACAAUGGCUCAUGGUAAUUUUUGUAAUUGUGCUUAUCAGCAUCUACAAAUGCAAUGUCAAAUUCUUCUCUCUCCUUUUCCUGUUGUGUAAAAAAAAAAAAGAAAGAACAAAAUAAAUAAAAUCCUAAUAUAUAUACAAUUAGGCUAAAAUUUUCUGGAAGUAUGCUUACAUUACUUAACAUUUCGGUUAAUACUGAAAUAGCAUCAGACUGAAUGAAAUUUAUUUUGUGCUCGACGCCUGCCUUGCGGAUGAAUGGUACUCCAACUUCAUAAGCUUCUUUAUCAAUGUCUAUAGCUGUUAUCUGUUCACAAAUUUUCUCAGCAGAUCAAGGUUUUUUCACUAAAAGUAGAAAAAGAAAAGAUAAAAGGAAGAAGAGUAUAUAAAUUACCCGGCCAUCAUGAGGCAAGGCAAGUGCAGUUGAAAGAAGAGAAUAGCCAGUAAAAACACCGAUCUCUAUCGUCCUUUUGGCGUUCAUAAUCUUCACAAGCAUUGAUAGGAAUUGCCCUUCAUCAGCUGGUAUUGAAAUUUUGCUCCUGCAAUUCAUAUUUUCAAAAAAAUUAGAAAGUUUUCUAAUAUUUAUGGAAUAUAUGGAAAUUAAUUACUUACCUCUUUCCAUAUUUGUUCUCAGUAGCUUUUCGUAAAUUCUUGAGUUCCUCGUGCUCUCUUGGAUAUGCACUUGUUUCAUAGAUAUACUGUAACAAAAUUUCUAAAUUUUUAAUACAUUAAAAGGACAUAAUUCGAGUUCUUAAUACAUUUUUUCUCUGUGGUCAAUAUUAAUAAUCAAUUCCUUCGUUGAGAUAAAAAAGAAGAAAAAGAAAAAACAGAAAUUGCAGUGUUGAGAUAUAUAUUAAAUACAAAUAACCUUCUGUAGAGCUUGGCUCUGGAGGAUUCCUUUCGGAGGUAAAGCAUUCGCCAUGCCUGACUUGCUUCUUCUUCUCACUUUAACAAAAGUGCAGCAAUAUAUAUUUGAAUGUUCAUAAUGAUUUUUUGUGUGAUGUGAAACAUAUGUUGGUUGCUCGUGAGAUAUUUAUUGACAGUUGAGUUAUACCAAGCAGCUUUACGCCAAACGCCAAAAUUAGUGAGUUAUACAAACAGAGCCUCAUGGGGACAUGGGUUUGACGGAGUGGGUUCUCCAAAUGUCAAUUCAGCCUUUUUCCAACUACCAAACAAGCAUUGCCAGCGGCCGCAGAGCUAAAAAUAUCUACCGGUCAGAUCAUUUUAUUUAAUUUGAUUUUUUAGUGGUUAAUUAGAUUAAAAAUUUUAAAAGUUUUUCACUUAAUAUAUAUAUAUAUAUAUAUAAAAUUUUUUUUAUCAAUUUAAUCACGUUUUAUAAAUAUUUUUUAAAAAAUUGAGUGAGAUCAACUAACCCUACUUCACAUAGCGGGGUGCUGUCCUGAUGGGGAGGUGUUGGCUGGCUUCUCAUCAUUUGUUAGGCUGCAUUCGACAAAAACUUUUUAAAACUCCAUUCGGUAAUAACAUUUGAGGGAGAGUUUAGAAUUUUGAAUGUGUCAAAACACUAUUUUUAUAAAUUAUAUCAUUCAGUUGUUAGUGAAUAAUAUAUCUUUAUUGAAAUAUUAAUACAUGUAAGAGUUUCCAUUUUUUUAUUAAAUUUUUUUGACAAUUAUGUCCUUAAUUAACUCAUAUUAUCCUUAUCCUUAAUUAACUUAUAUUAUCCUUAUAUUAACAUUAGUUUAAAGUGUUUUGCUAUAUAACACUACAAAUCUGCAAUUAAGUUAAAAAAUUACAUUAUUUUACACAAAAAUUUAAACAAAAUAAUUUAAUAAUGAAUUAACAGAGAAAUACGUGAGGGAAUUGUAUUAUCAUUUUAAAGUGAUAAUGAUUUCAAUUUAUCUAAUUGGACUAUACAUAAAUUGACAUUUUUUUUUUAUAAUGAGUCAACUACUGUAUUCAUAAGUUAAAAUUCAAACUUAAUAUUUAAAUGUCUCUUUUUAUCAUUUUAAAUUCAAUAUCUAAUUAAAUAACUAUUUUUACCGAAUACUUUUACUCUAAACAGUUAUAUAAACAACUAAUAUCCAACAGCUAACAGUUUUUAAAACAGUUAACAGCUCGUAAGACCGCUAACAACUAUUAAAGUAUUGUCGAACAAGCUCUAAGUAGCUUAUUAAAAUAUUAAACCCUAUUUUUUAUAGUUUUUGGUAACAUACGUUUAAAUUAGCUUUUAAAGAUUAAAACAACGUUUUAUACAAAAAUUAACUCAUAUAAUAUGUUAUGAAAAGUUGCUCAAACAGUUAAUAUGUAAACACUACUAAAAUGGCUAAAGAGCUAUCAAAACAACUAAACAGUUACCAAAACAAUUAAUUAACUCAUAAAUUUUUAGAAUUUAUUUUUUUUAUUUAUAUUGUUUAUGAUUUAUUUAAUUAACUCAUAGAUUCACGUUGAAACUGUAUUCAAUCUAACGCUUACGUAUUCAACCAAAGCAAAUAUUCGACCCAAAUGCAACCCUCUAAUGAUUUUAUUUUAUGGAUGAUAGUAAUAAAACACCAGUAUCUAUCAUUCUCAAUAGAGACGCCUGCAUAGAGUAACACCAUCACCAAUAGAAACUUGUGAGAUCUCUACACGUUGAUCCUGAGACAGGUAGUCGUUCACUUCUAGUAUAGCGUUUCUUGCGUCCCUGAAAGGCUCUGGAACUGUAUUUUCUUCUUCAACUACAAGUCCGAACAAUAAGGUGUUAUCAUAAGCAAUUAUUCCUCCAACCUUAACUAAUUUCAACAAUUGCUCAUGGUAAUUUUUGUAAUUUUCUUUGUCAGCAUCUACAAAUGCAAUGUCAUAUUCUUCUUUCUCGUUCUGCUGUUGUAUUCAAAAAAAAAAAAAAAAAAAAAAAAAAAAAACAUCAAAUCAAAUAAAACCUAAUAUAAAUAUAUAUAGUUAAGCUGAAAUUUUAAUACUUAUGUUAUUUACCAUUUUGGUUAAUGCUGAAAUAGCAUUAGAUUGAAUGAAUUUGAUUUUGUGCUCGACGCCUGCCUUGCGAAUGAAUGGUAAUCCAAAUUCAUAAGCUUCUUGAUUAAUGUCUAUUGCUGUUAUCUGUUCACAAAAUUUCUCAGCAGACCAAGAUUACUUUUUCAUUAGAGAGAGAGAGAGAGAGAGAGAGAGAGAGAGAGCAUGCUUAAAUUCUUGAAUUCUUUAGAAAAAAAAAGUUGCAUCCCGAAAAAUACUUACCGGAGAGGCAGCUACCAACCCUAAAACAAAAUUAUUCUCGUUCUAAAAAAUAAUGCGGAGAAAUUGAAGGGGUCGAAAGAGUAUAUAUUAUAAUUACCUGGCCAUCAUGAGGCAAGGCAAGGGCAGUGGAAAGAAGAGAAUAACCAGAAAAAACACCAAUCUCUAGUGUCCUUUUAGCGUUCAUUAUCUUCACAAGCAUUGAUAAGAAUUGACCUUCAUCAGCUGGUACUGCCAUCAUGCUCCUGCAAUUCAAAUUUCAAACAUUUAUAAAAUUUUCUAAUAUUUAUUGUGUAUAUAUACAUAUUAAUUACUCACAGGUUUCCAUAUUUGUUUUCUGUAGCUUCUCGCAAAUUCUUGAGUUGCUCAUGCUCUCUGGGAUAUACACUAGUUUCAUAGAUAUACUGUAACAAAAAUUUUUAAAUUUUGAAUACAUUAUACAGAUAGAUAUAACACAAUCUUCUCCAAAAAACAAUAUUUAAAAAACCUUCAUUAGAGCUUCACUCUGUAGGAUUUCUUUAGGAGGUAAAAUGGGCACCAUGCUAACUACUACAGUAGUACUACUACUUUUUAACUUCAACAAAAAUGCAGUAAUAUAUUGGAAAGCUCCUACAAAUUUAUGGGUGUGAAAGCAUAUUUUCGAUUGAUGGGGACAAGACUUGCUUAAAAGGUAGGUUAGUUUAAACCUCAAAAAUCAUUUUUCUUUAAAAGAGUUGAGUUUCAAAAGAAUUAAACAUUCUAUUAAUAAUAUUUUCAAAAAAAAAAUUCUAAUAAUAAUAAUAAUAUAUGAAAAGAGUAUAUCUUCAUUUUUUUAAUAAUUAAUACAUUUAAAUCACAUUAAUAUAAAAAUAAUUGAAUAAUUUAUUUUUUAAAAUUUUAAAGAUUUUUUUUAAGUAUUGGAGAAGAGAUUCAAACCUGGAUCUAUUGUCAGAUCGUAAAUAUAUUUAUCACUAAACUACGUCUUAAUGUGCAAAAAAAAAUUUUUGUUUUGUAAGAACCUAGAAUAGUUAAUCACCUCUGACGUUACACGUAAAGCUUUUGAGCUCUCUUGCAAGUAACAAUAAAAUAAAGGUAUCAUGAAACUUCCUCGUAAAAAAUCUCAAUAAAAAAAUUAACGUACUAAUUAAAUAUUAUAUCUAUAAAAUUAUUUUAUUGAGAAUUUGAUAAUUAUAAAAGUAGAUUGCUUUAACACUAAAUGAAAAUUUAAAAAAAUAUAAAAAUUAUUAUUUCAAAAUUAUAUUAACCACGCAUCAAAUUAAUAUUCUAUUUGAAAAGACCGUUGUUAAUUGAAAAGUUGUAUAAUAUUAUAAAAUCCCUAAUUUUAUAAGCAUAAUAAUUUCCCUUGAAAUUUUAGGUGCCAUAAAUUUUUUUUCAAACAAUAGAGGGAGAAAUUUAUAUUACAUGUUGUCAAAAUUCAAAGGCAAUGAUGUAUGUAUAUGGUUAAUCAUCACUUUAUCAUAAAAUGGAGAAUAAAAGAAUCAUAUAUAUAACAUAUUACACAGUAAUACUUUUAUUAAAAAAUUAAAAAAAUAGUAAAAUAAAAAUAAAAAUGAGGAGAACAACAUAUUAUUUUUAAGUAAAAGUAUCAUCCCAUUAUUCUGCAACAAGUAACAUUUAAAAUUUUGACCAGAAUUAAAAUAUUAUUUUUAUUAAUUAUAAUAUUCAGUAAUAUAAUAUUUAUAAUAAUAAAUUAGACGUAUAUAGCAAUUAAUUGAACUUUUUUAAAUUAUUUUAUAUUUAAUAGUUAAUUAAAUAAUUAUUUUUAUUAAAUAUUCUUAUUUUAAACUAUUUUGUAUAAAUAAUUAACUACAAAUAACUAAUAUUUAAUAUAAUUAACAGCUAAAAAAACAAUUAAGUGAUAACUAAUUGAAUAGCCAACAACAAUAACUAAUAUCAAUUAACACGUCAUGGUUUUAUACGGUAAUUAUGGAAAAGUAAAGUUUAUUACUUUUCAUAAUACUAAUUAUUUAUAAUAAGUAAGGUGGUCUGUCUCUAUCGCUACAAGAAAAAAAGAUAAGGCUCCAUCAACAAAAUAACAAAAGAACGUCAAAUGAGAGGAAAGAAAAAUGCCAAACGAAAGGUUGUUGGAAAGCUACUCUUUUAUUGAUUUUUUUUAUAUUUCAUCAGAAGUUUUUAGAUUACAAUAACGAAGUUAUUGGUCUAACUAUGAAUGAUUAAUGCACGAAAAUAUCAAUUUCGUUAACGAUAGGUGGUUGGAUAAGAAAAGGUGGAUAACAUGUCUGUAAGCUUCGUCUAUGACAUUAAGGCCUUGUUGACAAUAAUUUUUUAAUUAGCUUUCAAUAUUUUUAUCGGUUAAAACGCUAAAAAUAGUGUUCAAUAACAUAAUAUUUAAAUUAAUUUUUAGAAGUUAAGAUAAUGUUUUAUUAAAAAUUAACCCAUAUAAUAUUUAGCUUUUUUCAUUUUAUAAAAACUAUUUAAAUGACUAACAACUGAACACUGUUAUAACAACUAUCAAAACAACAAAUUUUACCGAAUAGAUCCUAAGUUUUAAAAUGGAUCAAAUGUAAAAGCUACUAAUUGAGAAUCAGAAAAACUUAAACCAAUAGAAUUGGUUUAAAUGAAAAUCACUCAAGUCAUUUAAGUAAGAAGUCUAAGGCUGUAUUUGACAAAAAGUUUUUUAGGUAACUUUUAGCGUUUUGUCUGGUUAAAAUGUUACUAUUUAAAAAAUUUUUCAGUAACAUAAUGUUUGGAUUAGACUUUAGAAGUUAUGGUAGCGUUUUGUGAAAAUUUAACUCAUGGCGUUUCAUUAAAAAAAAUACAAAAACAGCUAACAGCUAAACGCUACUAAAACAGCUAAUAAAUAACAAAACAGCUAAACGCUACUAAAACAGUUGAUAGAUAACAAAAUAGUUAAUUUUGUCGAACAAACUCUAAGUGCUCCUUCAUGAAGAAAAUUUUCAUUGUGACAAAGUAAUUUAAUUAACAAUAAAGGUUGAAUUUUCUACACCUAAAAUUUUCUACACCUAACUAUGUAUAUUGCUUCUAUGUUUUUGUACGCCUUAAUGAAGGAAAACCUUCUCUUUUUUAUAGGAGAAGGGGACGCGGUGGACGCGCGUUAAUCACGCGUCUACUUCUCUUUUUUUUUUUUCUUUUCAAAUGUGUGUGGGUCUUAUAUGUUGGAGGGACCCUACAACAACAUUAAGGAAGUCUAUUGGCUCGAGAUAAUUUUUCCUGAUUUUUGUAAUUCUAAAUAAAAUUUUGUUGCUGAAAAGAAAAAAUGAUAAAAAAGAUAACCUCACAAAGAUAUGGAGACGGGCGUGGGUUCCCCAAAUUUCAACUCAGCUUCUUCCAACUUCCAUAAAAGCAUGGGAGGUCUCGGUGGCUCCCUAUUAUUUGUGUUAGUACAAUUAUAUACUCCCUCCCCUAAAAAGAUAAAUUUAUCUCAUAUUGAAAAUAUAUAAGAUCACAAAACCUAUAUCAUUUUAUAUAGGUAACCCUAAUUCAUAUAAACUCAAAUUAUUGAAUGAAUUAUUAAUUGAAUUUGAUAAAUUACCCUUAGGGCGCAAAUUUAACAAUUUAUGUAUAUUUUAGCAAAUUUUUUUGUCGAAAUAUUAAAAUGAAUAAUUUUAAUUCAUACAUAAGUUGCGGUCCACUAAUAAAUUCAUAGAGCCAACACAUGAAUAAUUGAAAUCAUUAUAAUAUUUAUAUUUCAACCAAAUUUUAGCUUUGAUAUUACUACUAUUAGAAUAUGUUUAUAAUUUGUGAAACCUAUUUUAAAUUAAUUUUGCUGAAUUUUUGAAGAAUUUAUUUAACUCAUAGAGUCAUUUUGAAUCUGUAUUCAAUCUAAUCGUUACAUUCUCAAUAAAACACCAUCUAUCAUGUUUUACAGCUGCAACAGAGACAAAAUCUAUAUAUACGCCAUGUAACUAUGGUAGAAACAUUCUCAAUAGAGACGCCUACAGAGAGUAACACCGUCGCCAAUAGAAACUUGCGAGAUCUCUACACGUUGAUCCCGAGACAGGUACUCAUUGAGUUCCUGUGUAGCCUUUGUCAGGGGCCUGAAAGGCUCUGGAACUUCAUUUUCUUCUUGAGCUACGAAUCCAAACCACAAGGUGUUAUCGUAAGCAAUUAUUCCUCCAACCUUAACUAAUUUCAACAAUGGCUCAUGGUAAUUUUUGUAAUUGUGCUUAUCAGCAUCGACAAAUGCAAUGUCAAAUUCUUCUCUCUCCUUUUCC